rnacentral:rRNA from 1 species
GAUGAACGCUAGCUACAGGCUUAACACAUGCAAGUCGAGGGGCAUCAGGAAGAAAGCUUGCUUUCUUUGCCGGCGACCGGCGCACGGGUGAGUAACACGUAUCCAACCUGCCCUUUACUCGGGGAUAGCCUUUCGAAAGAAAGAUUAAUACCCGAUAGCAUAAUGAUUCCGCAUGGUUUCAUUAUUAAAGGAUUCCGGUAAAGGAUGGGGAUGCGUUCCAUUAGGUUGUUGGUGGGGUAACGGCCCACCAAGCCUUCGAUGGAUAGGGGUUCUGAGAGGAAGGUCCCCCACAUUGGAACUGAGACACGGUCCAAACUCCUACGGGAGGCAGCAGUGAGGAAUAUUGGUCAAUGGGCGCUAGCCUGAACCAGCCAAGUAGCGUGAAGGAUGAAGGCUCUAUGGGUCGUAAACUUCUUUUAUAUAAGAAUAAAGUGCAGUAUGUAUACUGUUUUGUAUGUAUUAUAUGAAUAAGGAUCGGCUAACUCCGUGCCAGCAGCCGCGGUAAUACGGAGGAUCCGAGCGUUAUCCGGAUUUAUUGGGUUUAAAGGGAGCGUAGGUGGACUGGUAAGUCAGUUGUGAAAGUUUGCGGCUCAACCGUAAAAUUGCAGUUGAUACUGUCAGUCUUGAGUACAGUAGAGGUGGGCGGAAUUCGUGGUGUAGCGGUGAAAUGCUUAGAUAUCACGAAGAACUCCGAUUGCGAAGGCAGCUCACUGGACUGCAACUGACACUGAUGCUCGAAAGUGUGGGUAUCANACAGG